ensembl:lncRNA
UGAGAGGGCCGAGCUGAGAGUUGCUUUUUCCCGGAUGCUUGUGGUAUUGCGAAUGCUGUGUCUGCGGUUGAUGCGUGGGAAGAAAGCACUUCACCAUCAAACUUCAUGCAAAAAUGCUUCUGUUAAUCACCCGCAGCGCCAGAGAAGAAGGAGGGUUUCCAGAAACAACAAGGUCUGUAAUACCUGGAGAGAACUGUCCAAUGGUUUCCAAUUAAUCUCAAUGGCAGCUUGUUGGCCAACGCAGGAACCUUGAAAAGAAUAUGACCUGCUUUCUGUCAUCUUUGGAUGUGAGCAAAGAUUUUGAUGGGUGAGUCUGUUUCACACUUUUAAGAGCCCUCCAAAAAAAAAACAACUUUUGAAUAAUAGUAUUUGAAUAAUCAGAACUGAAGUGAAUCAUUACUGUUAUAUACAGUAUAUAUAGUUUGUGGAUUUUGAUGUUUCUUACAAGGAACCAGCUUUCCACUUCACAAGACAUUAAUUGAUGGACUGAAGUGGUGUGGAUUAUUAUGAUGUUUUUAUCAGCUGUUUGGACUCUCAUUCUGACGGCACCCAUUCACUGCAGAGGAUCCACUGGUGAGCAAGUCAUGUAAUGCUAAAUUUCUCCAAAUUCUGUUCUGACGAAGAAACAAACUCCAUCUUAGAUGGCCUGAGGUGAGUAAAUUUUCAGCAAAUUUUUGGGUACACAAGUCCUUAAACUGCAUUUGACAUAGUUAAUUAGAUUAACAUUAUAAAUCCCUAACAAUGUAUGACAGGACAUCUUUAACAAAAAUCUUAUUAGAUCCUGUACUCCAAAUCUAGUUUUUUUUUUUUUUUUUUUUUUUUUUUGCAGCACUGGCAUGCUUGUAUGGAGUCUUUAAUUUCACAAGCAUCACUCCAAACAACUGAUCAUGCAUGCGGCCCAUAUGCUGAACUGACUGCCUUUGUGUCAAACAGCUGAAUAGGCAUUGAGAAUGUGAAUAACAUCGUGCAGCAUUACAAAAAAGCCAUGUUGUUGAUAUUGAAUCUUUUGUUACAAUGCUAGAUGGUGCAAAGCCUUAUUUUCUGAGAAUAUAAUUUGAGAAACUCUUGAAUCUGUGCCGAACUGACAGUUGUAGAGGUUGGAUGCAAGCAUGACAAAUGUAUUCAGGGCUUACGGGACAGUACACAACACGGACGUCUCUGUUUGCUGAUUCCUAAAUUUUAAUUACAAAUUUGGGGUAUGUCAGAAAUAUAGUUCCGCUACAUCUUCCAAAUAUGGUGGCGGCACUAACAUG